rnacentral:other from 1 species
CCAUUCCUGGGGUGUUGCGUCAUGCUUUGUAUAUUGACCCACAGCUUUAAAACGGGAUUUCGAGUCUCACGAUGGGUACGUAGGCUUACGCGAAUGCAGUAGGAAACGCAAAAUCGGGAGCAGAUAACCCACCUGCCAUGUUUGGCGGGUUGCAUUACAGGGCAGACGGCACUUUGGGGCUUAC